CCCCUUUCAGGAUGGCACCUGGAGAGUUUCCAGUACUCUACCAGUCUCGGUUUUGGGAGGGAAAGUUGAGCACCGGUAUACCCAUUCCAUUCCUAGCUUGAGCAGUGGCUAACGAGUGGAAGGCAAUCUGCUACAAUC